CCCUCACCCUCCAACACAUCAUUUCUUUAUCUUUUUCAUAUCCCCCACCCACUCCAUUUCUUCAUUGAGGUGAAGCCAUGAAAUAUUUCGUAAAAGGUGAAAUUGAAUGUUUUGAGAAGUUUAUGAAUUGAAGUUUUUAUGUUUUUGAGUUAAAAAUUUGUGAAAUUUAUGAUACUUGAUAGGCAAUUUGUGUCAAAAUUGUCUCAAAGUUGACAAUUGUGUUGUUUUAAAUGAGUUUUUCGGAUUUCUCUCUACUCUGAUUUCUUUCCUUUCUCUACUCUGAUUUUUGUCAAUUACCCCUCAAUCCGUCAUCUCUACGUGUGUGUGUUCUGUGUGGAAUUGGGAGUCUGUGUGGGUGUUUGUUUACUGUGAGUGAGCAAAGAAAAUUGAAGGCCCUUCUCCGUAAAUAAAGAAUCUAUAUAUAUAUAUCUCAGUGUGUGCGUAUUGUGAAGGGGUGGUGAUGGAAGGAGUGGUGCUAAUUCUCGUCUGUGUGUGUCUAUAUUAUGAAUUGAAUUGUUGUCCAUGGUUGUUAUCUAAUGGUGAUAAUGAAAAAAAUGAAAAAAAUUAGAGGAGAUGGCAUUGGGGUUGGAAGGAGAGAGAGAGAGAGAAGGGGGAANNNNNNNNNNNNNNNNNNNNNNNNNNNNNNNNNNNNNNNNNNNNNCUAUAUUUUAUAUAUAUAUAAAAAUAAUACAUAUAUUUUUUUAAUUAUUUAAAUAAAUAUAUAAAAAUAGUAUAUGUGUGGGAUUACUUUUUUAAAAAAAAAUAUAUAAUUUCUUACGUGGCAAUGAUAUGGCACUGACGUGGCUCAAAUUGGGGCGUGUGUUCUUCACUCUCCGCAAUGAGAGCGUAUAAUUUUUUUAGAGGGGUAAAAAAUUUACUUUAAAGUUAUUAGGGGGUAUUUAAUUGUCUGAUUAGUUUAUGGUCUAAAGUAAAUUUUGGCCACACGUUCAGGAGUGAUUUGAUGUAUUUUCUCUAUUAAAUAUGAAUAGUUAGAAAUUAAAUAGAAUCAACCAUUUGUUGGUGUAGUACUCACUCUAUUGCAAAAAACUCCAUCCGUUUCAAAAUAGUUGGCCCAUUUUGACUUGACACUACCCUUAAGAAAGUAUUUAUUAGGGGUUUCUUUU
rnacentral:lncRNA from 1 species